rnacentral:rRNA from 1 species
UUGGAGGGCAAGUCUGGUGCCAGCAGCCGCGGUAAUUCCAGCUCCAAUAGCGUAUAUUAAAGUUGUUGCAGUUAAAAAGCUCGUAGUUGAAUUUCGGGGUCAGUAGGUUGGUCGUGCCACUGGUAUGCACUGGUCUCACUGAUUCCUCCUUCCUGAUGAACCGUAAUGCCAUUAAUUUGGUGUUGCGGGGAAUCUGGACUGUUACUUUGAAAAAAUUAGAGUGUUUAAAGCAGGCUAACGCUUGAAUACAUUAGCAUGGAAUAAUGAAAUAGGACGUUCGAUCUUAUUUUGUUGGUUUCUAAGAUUGACGUAAUGAUUAAUAGGGAUAGUUGGGGGCAUUAGUAUUCAAUUGUCAGAGGUGAAAUUCUUGGAUUUAUUGAAGACUAACUACUGCGAAAGCAUUUGCCAAGGAUGUUUUCAUUAAUCAAGAACGAAAGUUAGGGGAUCGAAGACGAUCAGAUACCGUCGUAGUCUUAACCAUAAACUAUGCCGACUAGGGAUCGGAUGAUGUUAAUUUUUUAAUGACUCAUUCGGCGCCUUACGGGAAA